GGUCAGGUGGUGUAGUGGCAACACCCUUGCUAUAUAUGCAAAAGAUUGUGGGUUCAAUUUCCAGUCUGGACA